rnacentral:lncRNA from 1 species
AGUUCCGGCAUCAGUCUCUCCUCGUCUGCGGUUCGGAGUCUAAGCGACCUCUUUCAUUGGACGAAAACCUGACCACUUCGAGAGGCAGUCGACUGGCCAAUUGCGGUAACAAGCUCGAGCUCCAAGUCCUUUCGCAGAGAUAUAACGUUCCCUGAGCCUGAUAAGCAAUCGCUAGCGGAACUCUACGGAUACUCAACGCCCUCAAUCGUUUGUUCAGCUCGAGAGAAUCAACAGGAGUGAAAUCCUGUAAAGAGAAGUCAAAGCAUUGCGAUAAAAACUCCAUAUUUUCUCAUUUGACGAUCGUAAAAACCGUUUGAAAACAGUUAAACAAAGAGUGACGUUAUUUUUGGAGUGAUUUCUAUAAAAAAAUAAUUGUUUGCAAGUCUCCUAAUAAAAACAUCUUGAGAUUUCUGUUGCACUCGCAAGUUAUACUUGAAUUUACAUAGCAUUUACCUGAGUGAGCCAGAAGGUCACCGAAGAAGAAGAAGCAAGCAAUCAAGAUGGUUCAGGAACACUCUUACUCCGCCAACACCUACGUUGAUGACGCCCAGGCCAGGCGUUCGACCUACAAGGCCAUGCAGUUGGGCGCUUACAACAGCAACCCCCAGGGCAACACGGCCUCGACAAGGACCAAGGCUAAGAAGGCCAAUCCUCAGGUCGAUGUCUGGGGUCCUGUGUUCAAGAAUAAGGAGCAUUUCGUGAACAUGCAUCUGUGUUGAAGAUUGUUCAUGGAGGAGGAGGAGGAGGAGGAGGAGGAGGAAGCAGAGGUAGAAGGAGGAGGAGGGAGGAAGAAUAACAGAAGGUAUAUGGAGUUGGAAUAGAAUGAUGAGGAGGAGGAUAACUCGGAAGAGGAGGAGGGGGAGAACUCGGAAGAGGAGGAGGAAGUUGGAAUAAGAGGAGAAAGAGAAUGAGAAGGAGGAGGAGGAGGAGGGGAAUAUUUAGAUAUUUUUUUUUGCCUUGGCUAAUUUAUUCUAAUUGUUCACAAGUACUAGCAAUUCAUUCAUGAUCAUUGUUCCUCCGUGACGAAUAUCUCACGGGGAAUUCAUUGUGUGGAUAUAAAUGUUUAAUUAACAAUAUUUUAUGAACAGUGAGAGAGAGAGAGAGAGAGAGAGAGAGAGAGAGAGAGAGAGAGAGAGAGAGAGAGAGAGAGAGAGAGAGAGAGAGAGAGAGAGACUUAUGUACUAAUCAUCAGUGUCUGAUAUAUGUGUCAUCACUUCAUUUUUGAUUAAUAAAGAGCUUGAAUUUU